UUUUUUCUUUUCUUACCUUGAAAAUAUUCCUUCAAGCUCACCCCCAUCUACAGCCUGUCUGUGUUUAAUCUCCAUUUUCUCUGCACUGUAAAAUAUAUUUUUAUUUAUUGGACUUAAGCAAAGCUGUUCAGAGAGAGCAACUUACUCCAAACAAAGAAAAUGGGAAAAAAAGUCCAAACAAGCCAAGAAAUUUGGUUUCUUAACUGCUGUCACAUGGUUCAUCUAUGACAACAGUUCUUGAGGAAUAACCCAAGAGGAUUUUUAUUAUAACUGCAUAUGAGUUCCGUGCUUCUCUUAACCCCUAUGGACUCUGAAAUAAAGUGAAGUUAAAAAGAACAAGCACUUUGACGUAAGAGUUGCUUGUUUUUGUUCAGACAUGAGUUUUUUCAGAACUGAUCUGAAGUACUGUAAGACCACACUUAGAUUAAUUCCUAGUCAUUAACACAUAAGGUACAAAUUUCCAGUCCUUACUCAUGUUGGGGAGCAUCUAUGUGAGUAAUACCUUGUUUGAGUAGAAGGGGGCCCUUGGGUGACUCAGUGUUCACCAGUGUGACUAAGAGUUACAGUCAGGUCCCUAGAAGCUGAAGAAAGAAUCUAGUAUUCUUUAUGUUUCAGUAGUAGUACGCACCCCCCCCAUUGCAUUAAACAUGUUAAACAGGAUGUGCCUGUCUUCCACUGGGUAGCUGGCCUCUAAGGAAUUGCUUCUUUUGUGGGGAAUUACCGUUCCCUGUGCACUAACAUAUGGGCUUCACAGACUAACCUGAGAAGAAGAAAAACUUAGAAAAACUUAGAAAAACUUCCAGGAACAUUCAGAAUAUCACGUUAAUUUAUAACCUGAUAACAGAGCCGGCAGAGCUGGGAAGUGCAGAGCAGAGCAAAGACACAUAAGAUACAUCUUCUCUAGUAUAGAAGGCAAUUAAGAAGUAAGUAAUGAUGUAGAUAUGGUUUAGUUGAGAGCAGGAGUACAAUCAGCAGAGAAGACAUCUUUACGCAUCAGUUACCUUUUAAAAAAAAAUAAUGAUUUCUUGUAAAAGAGAGGGGACAACUAAAUUUGCAAAGAAUCAAAAGAGAAACUAGAAUGAGCAAAAAGAUGUGGAGGAAGGAGAGGGUUGUGGUUACAACACUCAAAGAGGACCAACUUAGAUCUGGGUUCACUUUCUUGGUCUCCCAGAAGUUUCUUGUGCGAAUUUGGGCAAGUCACUUAGCAUCUUUGUACUUCAGUUCUCUAUUUGUGCAAAAGGGCAGAAUAUUUCAUUUGGACUGAAAUCUCUUCUGGUCUGGGCCUACCUCUUUGUCACCUGUGCAUACGCAUUACAUGUAGCACAGUUAUAUUACACAUGAGACAUCCUAAUAUCCUAUAGAGAGAUUUGAUAAACAUAUAUGUGCUUUUGUACAAUUCUGUCUCCAGUAACGGCCUGAAGGCAUAAUUUCUCUCAAGCCCUCAGUACUAAGUCUCUCAUAUCCAAUGAAAAAGGCCAACUUCCACAGGAAGGCAUCUAUCCUGAAGCAGAUGGGUAAACACAGGAGGCAAAGUAAUUACAAACUGAUUAGCAAAUAUAUCCUUUUUUUUUUUUUUUUUUUUUUUUUUUUUCUCAAGGGAUGACACUUAUGCUUCUCCUGCACUCCCUGGAGCAGUUUUUUCUAGGUACCAGCACAAACCUUAUCACAAUAGUAGCUGUGGCUUAUCCUUUUGCAACACCUGUCAAGGUGUAGAAAGGAAAAGCAGCAUUCUCCUUUAAUGAACAGGUGGAACUGAAGCACAGGCUACAUUCAAACUCAAAUCACAGGGGAACUUGUUAGAGAAACGGGAAUUGAGCCUACAUCUCUUCAGUCUGCAUAUUACUUUAUUUUCUGAAAGUAGACUUCAGUUCACCUGAUUUUAGACAAAAUACUAGAGAGCUUGGUCUCGGUAGUGAACAAACGAUGGAAGGAGUCAUUUCCCCUGGCAUCUAAAUCACCAUCACGGGAGGAGCAUUCAUCUCUCCGCUGAAUAUACAAAGAACCUCCAUCAGAUCCUUGAAAUUAAGUCAUGUAAGUACUUUGCUGUACUGUUUACUUUUCCAUUGUGUGAUUCUUUUUUCUUCACAAGCAUUCUUUGCCACAGAGCAGUGGUGUCUGAAGCCACAAUCUUGCCUUAGACAUGGAUGCCAAGAGACAUUCUGAACUCAGGAUUUUCUGGGCAAGUGAGGAAAAAGAUCUUGAAAUAUUCAGAUUCUUUUUUCUAUGAAUGCUAAAAUACUCUGUUACAGAUUAGGGGUUAUAAGCAUGUUGCUGAUUGUGUGAAGCUGCUUUAAAAUUCAUUAAUUAUUAACAAAAAUAGGGUGGCAGGAAAAACAUCUCAGUGAAAGAGAGAGGAUUUGACCUGGCAUUACCAAUACUGGGGGGGCAAGUAGAAUGAAUCUAUAUUCUAUGCACCGUCUCACACCUCCACUGUGUUCCUUGGAGCUCUCUUGGUUUCAGGGUAGUCUAGUGUAGAUAAUUCCUAUUUCUUCCUUUUUUUUUUUUUCUUUUUUUUUUAUAGUGUUUUUAGCUUAACUACCAUCCAUCUGCUAUCAAAAGCAUUUAAUUUCAUUUUCACUUUGUAACAUCUUGAACUAGACAUUAUGAAAUGGCUCUGAAUUACCGAGGGCACAUGUGUAUUUCUUUCAGCAGUAUACGGCCACUCCAUUAAAAGGCAAAAUUAUGGUGUAACAAUAUUAUACUUUUGUGUAGCCUUUAACAUCACUCUCAUCCUCCAUCAGACUAGUUUUGUUGCUGUGUACAAAAUAA